AUGAUUAAUAAAGGACUAGCCCGGAACCACCAGAGGAAAAAACCCAGAAUUAUGGGGCACGUUCAAAGGUGGCUCUUUUCUACGAAGAUAGAAAAAGCUUUGGAAGUACCUAAGUUAAAAGAUCGGAGGUACCAGACAAAAAGCUGGCUCUUUUCUACGAAGGUAGAAGAUGCUUGGAAGUACCGGGGUCGGCAGAGUUGUUCUCAAAGAGAAACGGUGCAGAACAGGCUAGAUCCCAGCUCGGAGGUUCUGAAUGGAUUUGCUCGGGAGUACCGGGCCUAUAAUGGGACUCAAAGGGCUGAAGCAAAUUGA
rnacentral:rRNA from 1 species